rnacentral:snoRNA from 1 species
UUCCUUCUGAGGACGCUGUGCCCCCUGGAACUUUGACACCCAGGGAGUCUGAGGGG